CAAGUACUCCCUCCGUCUGAAAAUACUUGUCAUCAAAAAGAAUAAAAAAGGGAUGUAUCUAGAUGUAUUUUAGUUCUAGAUUCAUCCCUUUUCAUCCAUUUUGAUGACAAGUAUCUUUGGACGGAGGGAGUAGUAC
rfam:Triticum aestivum genome assembly, contig: Triticum_aestivum_CS42_TGACv1_scaffold_408456_5BL